rnacentral:rRNA from 1 species
GACAGAGACGGCAAGCGGUAUUCAUUGGAACUGGGCAUAAAGAGCUCGUAGGUGGAUAUUAUUUAUAGAGCUUGACGGUAAUGGCUGCGUAUCGACGUAGUAACAGGUCUUGCAAAGUUUAUCUGUUGAGAUGUAAAUAGGUUAGUGAAAAGCAGUAUGGAGGUCAUCAUGCCUAUGAUAUACUGAGUAACACCGAUGGCAAAGGCAGCUAACUUGGUACAAUCUGACGCUUAGGAGCGAAACUUUGAGUAGCGAGAGGG